rnacentral:rRNA from 1 species
UCGAGGAUCUUCGGCAAUGGGCGCAAGCCUGACCGAGCGACGCCGCGUGCGCGAUGAAGGCCUUCGGGUUGUAAAGCGCUGUCGAGGGGGAGGAAAGCCGCAAGGUCUGACCUAUCCCUGGAGGAAGCACGGGCUAAGUUCGUGCCAGCAGCCGCGGUAAGACGAACCGUGCGAACGUUGUUCGGAUUCACUGGGCUUAAAGGGCGCGUAGGCGGAUCACCAAGUCCGGGGUGAAAUCUUUCGGCUCAACCGGAAAAUAGCCUUGGAUACUGGUGGUCUGGAGGGAGGUAGGGGCAUGCGGAACUUCCGGUGGAGCGGUGAAAUGCGUAGAUAUCGGAAGGAACGCCGGUGGCGAAAGCGGCGUGCUGGACCUCUUCUGACGCUGAGGCGCGAAAGCCAGGGGAGCAAACGGGAUUAGAUACCCCCGUAGUCC